rnacentral:lncRNA from 1 species
CGGUGGUCAACGGGUCAACUUGAAUUUUGAUCAAAACCAGGUCAUUGGUACAAAUCGAAAGGCAGACUGGUUCCGAUUUUUACCAGAUCAUUGUUUGCGGUUUAUAUGACUUCCACAUUGUGUCUUCGAGGAUUACUUGCUUUGGUAACACAUAGUUACCAUGAACGCUGAUAGACUAGGUACGUAGACCUAAAUUAGGUACGAG